ensembl:lncRNA
GUGAAAUAGAGUGACUGGAAGACAUCCAGUGGUUUAAAAAUAACUCAAUCAUUUAUAAGAUCCACAGCGCUAUAGGAUUUAACAUUAAGGCACAGGAAGUGAAGGCAUCUUGGUACGGAGCAUGCUGUUUUAAUUCCACAAAAGCUUUGUGAAUUCGGCUUAACGGAGCUCCCUGCACAACAGCCCUGUGCCACGCAGAAGCAAGGGAGGUUCCUCUCAAGUGGUCACAGGUUUAACGUCUGGGUUUUUGUCAGCGGGAUUUGAUUUCAUUUUUCCUCUCUCCACCAUUUGGAGAAGCCUUUGGCUGGAGAUAUUAUAAAAGAGAUGGUUUUUUUUUUUUUUUUUUUUUUUUUUUUAAUGGUAACGCUUAACUGGAAAGACUGGGAGGAAGACAAAGCUACACAGGGACCAAAGGAGUGUCUUCAGAUGAAAUGUAAUCAUGUGACUCAAGGCAGAAGCAGGCAAGACGUCUGGAAGGGACUUGAACAUUUAUGCCUCAGUGCUGCUGCUUGACUUCCUCCAGAGAAGGGAGAGCAUGCUUGGAUGUUUGCCAAAAGGGAGAUCACAGUUCUUUCUAAUGCAGACCUUGCAAGGCCUAGCACAAGGCAAAGACACUUGAGCACUGGAAUAGUUUCUUGGAGACUCUGAUGGCUCUUCUGCAUAUGAAAAGUUUAGGAAACUGCAAGUUUUGAAGAAAUGCAUGUGCAUAUCUGCACUGGCAGCAAGAUCUGCUUUGCAAAUAAUUACCGUGUAUCCAGGGAAAGGGAAAAAACUUCUUUUGAAACUUUCAAUGUGGAGAAAAUUCUGUAGAUAGAAAAACUGCUAGAAAGAAAUAAAACUGCAGUUGGGGGAACAGACAAUAAACAUUUCAGAUUGCUUUAUGGCUCACUAUUACAGGCAACUAUCUUGCUUAAGUAGGCAUAACAUUUUUCACAGUAUAUAUUUAAGGUUUUAUUAUGGUUUGGAUGAACAGCAGGAAACCAUCGCUCUUGAAGGGAGGGGAGAAAUAAUUUUUGCCAGCCCAGAGGCCUGGCAGGUAGCAAAAGGCACUUUGUAAGCAGGACAUGGGUGCGUGAUUCAGUGUGGUCUGAGCAAUGCCCUGCGUGGUGUCCAGCUGCGUGGGCUGCCUGCAAUGCAGGAUGCAUGCAUGAGAGUGAUGAGGUAGAAUGGACCCUGGGGACCAGCAUCACUCAUGCUGGGUUAGCUGCAUUGGGGCUUUUACUGGGGCACCAAUGGAGAACACAGCCCUACAAGCAGCCUAAUGUUAGGGGCAAGCAUCAGAGCAUUUGGGGCCAUUGCAGGCUCCUCUGGAGAGGCUCUCCAGGACAGUAAGUUACACAGCGACAUCCACCUCCGGGCUGCCAAAUCCUGACAGCUCAAAACAAUGGAACAAAGAGUAACGGGAAAAGAACAGUCCACACCACCGCAUCCAGCAUUGUCCUGGAUUCCCUUCGGCUUGCUUACAAUGAGUGACGUCCUUCGGUCUGGGGCGCACCACUUCUGCCAGGAUCGACCCCAGCCCAUGCCCCAAACUUGGGAACCAUGCCACAGCCAACAGCGACGCAAUGUAUAAGUCAUUAGGCAAGAGAAACUGAAGUCACUUGAUUUUUAUCAUUAUUAUUCCCCACACAACAACAGCUUGUCCCUCUCCCCAGUUUACUUCUGCCUCCAUUUAUCCCACCAUGCCCACCAGUAAUCCAGACCCUCCAGAGCACAGAACGGGGACAAAACCUUCCAAUAUGCAGUUUCCCAGGCAGAGCCAUGAGGAGCUAAUCUCUGUGUACAUUAUGUGAACUGAAGUAAGUAAUUUAGCAGCUUAUUCCCCCAGGUAGCCAGUGACCACUGUAUGUCCCUGCUAUUUAAUUUGACAGUUAACCUUCUGAGGGCUGGUAGUCAUUUUAGAUUAACCUCUGUAUCUUAAAAAUUAGUAAGCAAUUUCCUUCAGGUUAAUUUUUUUUUUUUUAAUUGUUAAUUUUUCCACCUAUUUCCAGUGGUCAUCUCAUCUCCCACAUUUGUUUGCCCUUUUUAAUGUAUCACUUUGUGAAUCAGAACUGGUGGAGGGUAGGGGGAUGCACUACUAAGAAGCUGGAAAACAUUUUUAAAGAAGUAAGACGAAGCAUUUGUGCCAUAGUUUACAAUUAUAAUAAAAUAAAUCUAGAAACCAUUUCAUGUAUGAGAGCGUGUAUAUUAGAAAAAAAUAUUCCUCUCUAUAAUGGAUAACCAUCUUAGGAACAGUAGAAUGUGAGUAAUUUGUCAGUUUUUCUUUUAAUUAAAACUGUGAAUAUAGUUCAUGCACUGUUUGAUUCAGCAUCAGCAUUUUGGAUGGGGGCUAAAACCGAUUUCCUCUUAAAUCUGUGGGUUUCUCAGGACAACUGGUGAAGUGUGCCUUAAUAUUAAGCUCUUGAACCCAAGAGAGGUUGGCUUGUUCCAAGACCAGUAAAUCAACAGAUAUUGGAGUAAUAGCUCUAAUAAGGCUCAGGACUUCUAACACUUCUGUAAAUGCUCUUUUUACCAAAACAGCAUCCAUUUUUUCUCUCAGACAACCUGUUUUAAUUCAUUGCAUCAUUACCAAGCUGGUCCACUGUAAAAUGAAUUAAAAUCAUGCUAGUUAGAACAGAUUCAUUCUAGGUAUUUUUCUCAAUGCAAUCCAUGGAACAUUGAACUUUUUUUUUUUUUGACAAGCAAGAAAUCUGCCUGACCUAACUCUGAAUCAUUUUUUUUUUAUUGUUGCUACCUUGAAUCUUCCUUGGGAGACGAUUUAAACCAGUGUGAAUUGAGGGUGCUCUGUUCCCACCUUGCAGUGGGCAGGCACACAGUACCCGUGCCCAUUCCAGAACUGGAUCAAGAUCUGCCUAACCGAAAUACAGUACUGUGUGAUCCUUCUGCAGAAAUGUGAAAGCAUUAAUAUACUUUUUUUUUUUUUUUUUUUUUUUUUUUUUGCUGAGAAGAGGAUGAGCAAAGAAUAUCAUAUGGGUUGGAUAUCAUUUGGGUUGGAUAUCAAAGUUUGCAUCCCUCUGCUUCUGCGUUAGACUCAUCUCCCACAUCUCCCUCCCCACAGCUCCAACCAUUCAGGGAGCAGAAAUCACCGUUAUGCUUCCAGGAAGCUCUCAUCCCUUGCAGUAUUCAGCUUUAAGUUUUAGUUCCUGCUACCUCGCCUGUUUUGACAAAUACCCACAGCACUCAAUAAAAUUAAAACAUCAAUGAACAAAACAGAUCCGUAUGAAGUUUUCCCCACAGAUUAGGAAAGGAGAGGAAGCACAUCUGGUAGAGGAGCGUCGUGUUGCUAAAUAUGUUCAAGUUCCACUCUGAUAGGUGAGUAUAGCGAUCAUCUAACUUAUCUGUAAUAUACCUGAGUGCUCCUUGGAUCAAAGCCUGGGGAACGCAAAGGAAAAGGCUGAAAAUUGACAAAGUGCAGCCAAAAAAAGGAAACUUUCAAAUGUAUACUGUAAGCACCACGGUAGUCCCCUUUGUGAGAAAGAGCUCCUACUUGAUUCCCUGGGAAUUACUUGAAGACAAACACAGUGAGAAUUACUUCGGAGAGAAUUUGAGGGGAAGCACACCAUGAGUAAGAGGAGCAGAUGCAUCUUGAGAGUUCAGAAUUCUUCCUGCCUCUAACUUUAUAUGCCCUUUACACAAUCUUCCACUAAUUCUUCUACACUGAUAGUCUAUAGAACCUAAUUACGCAAAGUUUUUUAAAAAUCCUUAUAUAAAAUGCAUAAUGCCUGAUAUCUGAGUCACAAGCACAGUUAAUGUAAUCUAACACAUAUUGCGGGAACCUACUGCACACAGAUAUUACCAAUUAGCACAUGAUUUUAACAAUCAACAUUCAUGCAAUUAAUAGAACACUUCAUAUUCCUUCUAAUUUUGAGCUCUGCAUGAGCAUAUGUUAUCAUGACGGAAUGUGGGAUCAUUUAUUUAUACUGGAAGCAAGGCUCCACACAGAAAGCUGAGAUGCUGAAAGUUAGCUUAGAAGGGAAAAGGGUUCAGUUUUGCAUUGAGAAAUAAAUACUUGCAGUCUGAUUUUUAAAAGUCAAGCUGCAUCCUUACCUUCUCCUUGAUUCUAAACUUCUGAAGGGGAAAAUGUGCUCUGAUUGCAGUCAGGGAACACAGCCGGCAGUGAAUCAACAAGCAGGUGAACACUUCUCCCUAGGACUGGAGAGCACAAUGUCAUCAAAAAGAAAUAACCAUAUUGUCAUGCUGUAUUACUUAGAUACUUCUGCAUUUAGAGAUUAUAGUAGCUGAACAUCUUGUUUUCCUUAGUAUGUUUUUUUUUUGGUCAUAUUUUACUGUGAUUAGGGGAGAAUUAUUAUUCUUAUAUGCCAGAUGAAGAACAAAGGUAUAAAGAGAUUAAGCCAUAUCCCCCGGGUAUUUAGGCACCCAUUGCCAUCAAAUUCCAUAGGAUUAAGGCAUUUAAUACCUUUAGGGUCUGGUCCCAUCUCCUUUCCUCACUGCAGAGGAAGGAGGGAGCUGAAUCCCUGUUCCUAGAGCCCUGGUAAUUGCCAGUCUACCCGACUUGUUUGGUGAGUCUGGGGUGCUAACAUAAGCAAAAAGCAAUAAAAACUUACUUUAAUAACUGAACUCAUAGAUGCAUUAUUAGCUCAUUAGGCAGAAAAGCUGUUUAGUACAGAGGUGUUUUUUUACACAUAGGUUGGAAAGAAUCACAGUGCUGGUGCUGCUGCAUUCCCAGUCUGUCACCGAGAACAACUUCAAAAUACAGAGGUUGCAUGAGACUUCCCUCCAGAACAUCCUCUUACUGCAAGAAGCUGAAGAAAAGUCUCACGUGUUCCCCACCAGUGAAAACAUUCCUGCAGGCUUCACACCCAUUGGCAGCUCACCCUGCGAGCUUCAACCAAGGGUAUGCCAAGGCCGCACCAUGCCCUGCACCUCGUUUAGGAAGUUGCCUGCUCUAAUCUGCCUUUCUAAAAAUCUUAAAGAAUCCAGAAAGAGUGAUACACAGCCCUCUUCCACUUGCAGGUGAUGCAUCUGACAGCAGAAGUGACCAUGCUGCACAGUGGCUGCUUGCUCCUCACCUGCCCAACGGGCAAGUGACAGCGUUGGGCCCAAAGCCUCUGGGACUUUGCUUCAGGAACUGCUCUAAGCCUCUGCCUCAGGAGGCUGUUGCUGCAGGGAAUUUUCCUCCAUCAGCAGGAACUGAAGCAGCUGCAAGAGCUGCAGAUGUAGACUCUAAAUCAUCGUGUCUUUCCCUCUUUCAGGACAAGCUCCUGAGAGAAUUUGGUUUACCACACAUCUGACGUGUGUUUAUGUGUUGCGGAAUGGGAGUAAUGCAAUGAUUCUCAGGGCAUAACUAUUGUGAAAAAAAUCAGAGGAGUUUUCAUCUCCCCCUCCACUUCCCCCCCCCCUCCUCCUCCUCAAGGUAGCAUUCCCACAGCAUCACCUUUGGGUAGCUGCUGUUCCAAACCAAAGCAGAUCAUGGUAAUCUAUAAGUAGCCAAAGAAAUGAGAGAUUUCACCUGUGGCUGCAGCUUAUCUCAAGGGCUCUUUAACUAAAUUUAGGUAAGCAAGGAGAAGAGGGCUCUGAACAUCGGUAUCCGAGCGUCUCAAUUGCAUGCCUUGAAACAAAUGUGCCAUGAAGGCAGUCUCAACGGAGGAUACACAACUGCGAAGAAAUAAGAGAGAGGAAAAAAAGAAAAUCUUCAUGUCUCAAACUCAGUUUACCUGCGGUAACUUUAGUCCAGGUAACAGAGCCUCACUGGUGUCCCUGGCAGAGUGGGAAACAAAGGGUAAAGGCUUUUCACAUUGACUAAAUAUCAAGAGAGAUUUUCUUUUGUUGUUGUUGUUGAUAUCAAUAGUAAAUACGCUUUUUUUUUUUUAACCAUUAUUUUUAGUGAAGGCUUUACUGCACAAAGAAUCCAGGGGGAACAGAAAAUCAUAUAAUUGUGCAGGUUGGGGAAUUCUCUAAAAAUACGUAACCGUGACACCCUUGUCAUUGCCAAUCAAGUAAUCUUGAUAAAAACUAAAGUAAUUAGCCUUUGAGAAGAGCAUACAACUAAUUAAAAAUGACAACUUAGUCGUCUCCACAAACAGCACAGAACCAGUCAGUAGUUCUAAGCUCAGCAUGAUGCAAUACCCUCACCUGCCAAAGGGGCUUUCCUUCAAGCCCAUCAAAAGAAACCACACUUUAUAGGGUAACAUUUUUCCUUUGUUCUAAAAUUUGGAUUUGCUUCAUCUACCAUACGGUACGUCUUUUGGUUCUGUGUGUGUGUUUUACUGUCUUUUACUAAGACUUUUGCCACCUAUCAGUAAUUUUUAUAAUCUAAAUGACAUUUAGGAGCAUACAAAGUCAUAUAAAACAAGACUAUAAAAUGUGAAGCAUGAGCAUAUGCAUUGUCUGAAAGACUUACAAGUUACAAUUAAUAACUUUAUACUCAUAACAAAGUUGGUUCUUCAAGACUUCCUAGAAAAUAGCCAAAAUCAAAAAGAAACCUCCAAUCCUUCAUGUAUGCAAAUAUUUGGGGCUUCUGUACUCCCAUCGAUGUUAGUAGCAAUUGCUUAAUUAACAUUUUUGGAACAAGAGUGAAUAUUACUUCUUCUGUUGUCAUCAAAAAUGCUUGAGGAGGACACAUUUUCAGAAAAUCAUCACAGUUACUAACACUAUUCUUACAUGUACAGAUAUCUUGCAGAUAGAGAAGACAACAAAUGUCUAUCUUUCCAAAUCGUAAGACUGUAUUUUCUAACGUACACAUACAAUAUAAAUACAUAUAAUUACAUAUAUUUUCUACAGCCAGUAGUCCAUGCUACCUUAUUGCUUAAAGCCCAUCUGCUUUGAAGGAUUAACGUGUGCUAACCUACGGUGUGCACAGACAUCUUUGUCUCCAUGUACUUCUAGUGCAACCCCUGAGCACAUACCCACAGGCUUAGGUUCCAAAAGAGCCAGCCAGUACUGCCAUGUUCUGGUCUAGUCCAAACACCGGUAUCAUCAGCAGAUUCAGCUGCGUGCUGCUGGUGCUUAUUCCCACUAAUGUACUGCUUUCAACCACACAGAGGAAAUGCAGGUUUGAUCCUCAGAAUAGGAACUGAUGAGCAGAGGAAAAGAGGUUCUGAUCAGAUUUUCCCUGGCUCAUGCUAGUGUUUGACUAUAGUUUAAGUUCCAGCUUGCUAGAACAGAAUAAUGAUUUAGGGAAGCCCUUAGGCUGCAGAAACACAAUGCAUUGGAAACAACCUGCAAAACAGAAUGAUAGUGACUCAGAGCAAGAGCUGAAAACUUAAGCCCCUUUGACUUACCGGACGUAAGUUGGUAAAAUAGUUACAGAUGUGUAUCUAGACCAAAUAAAAAGACCUUGCAGCCAUACAGAAAAAAAUGUAUCUGCUUGUGCUGCACUGCUUCCACUCCUCUGAACGCUUGAAGCAGAAAUAAAAUGUUUGCUUAUAUUUUGAAGAAAUGUUGGAUAAAACAAAAUUCUGAGCAAUGUUGAACCAGAUAAGGACCUUGAUCCUGCUCUGACAGAGCCAGCUCUGACUUAGGAAAGCAAGUCUCCUUAAGCUUCCUCUGCAGUCAGAGGGGAUCAUCCAUCUUCAGCUGUUGCAAAGAGGCAUCCUUCUAUUUGAGUACAUGGAAACAGACCAACAUACACAGGGUGACUAUCCCAGGCUGUUAUCCCAAAUGUACAGACCCGUGCCUCUUACUAUGUAAUUCUUUACAUGCCAAAUGUAACGGCAUUGGAGAAUCUUUCUGAGCUUCCAUUUGCAAUCUUCUCAUUGAAAACAUUUACAGUGUCAAAUGGGCCCUCUGGCUGAGGUCCGUAUUUGGUGCAAUUCUGAACGAUUCUAAGAUGUUUUUUUCAAUUCUCUAUUUAUUUUAAAGAAGUUUUUAUAUAUAUUAAAUGAGUUUUUACAGCUCCUCAAGGAAACAGCCUUUUCAAUAAGCCUACUGGACAAGCAGGUGGUUUGGUCUCAAGCUUUUUUUUCUUUGGUGUUACAGAGCAUAGGGAAGAUAAGAGAAGUGCUGCUUUUCUCUUCCUUUUUUGCUUUCCCCAAGCAAAAAUUAAUUUUUUUCAGGGAUGAAGCAGUAAUCUACAACACCUGCAAAGAGAAAGCAUCUACUUGAUCUUUUGACAUUACACUUCUCUCUAAAGGGAAGGUGGGAAUGGAAAUAAGAUAUCCGUAUAGUAAAGAGAGGAGAAAAGAGUAAAAUCUCCAUUUGUUCUUGCACCUCUCAUCAGACCUCCAGACCUUAAACUUAAUUCCAAGUUCAACCUGGAUAAAUAAAUGGAAAAAAUACACUGUGAGGAACAGGCCUACAUUGGCAGCGGAGCGGGUUUGAUGACCUAAUAGUUCUUUUUCCGUCUCUGAUUUCUUUGUUACUAUUUAUAAAAGGGAAGUAAAAAUGAUGGGCCAUUCCAAACAAAUUGUUAGCAUAAACCAAGAGCAAGCAUCAAAACUGCCAAAUGCCUCUUUAAGACUCGUGAAGUCAGGGAAAAGACUAAUAACGCACCUCUCUGAAGGUCCUGGGCUAUGUUUAUUUCCCAUAUUUAUUUAAAAGAAAAUCAAAAUACUUUUAAGCAAGUCAGCUGGUUCCAAAUUUAGGAACAAUUGAACAAAGAGGAAUCUGCUAAUUCCAGAUGGAGUGCAUAUAGUCCCUUGGCACUUAUUACUUACCAAAUGUUUCAGAAAGCAAACACAUGACCUAAAGGAUUUUGUGAGUGUGGGGUCCUCAAAAAAGCUCUUAACAAGUCAUGUCUUUCCAACCAUAUUUACUUUACCCACACACAAAAACCCACUUAGUUUUCCCAUUUUUUUUCAGGGGGGAGAAAAAAAAAAGAGCAGACAAUGCUCUCUUUAAAGACUAUUUACGUACAAUUCAGUUAUUCCAUAAGGCCAGGGGCUCUGUAGGUGUCUCCUUUGAAAGGC